UUGGUCUCGGCUGCCGACAUGCCAUCCAGAGUGAGGAAGACCCGGAAACUUCGGGGGCACGUGAGCCAUGGCCAUGCCGCAUUGGCAAGCACCGGAAGCACCCAGGAGGACGCGGUAAUGCUGGUGGCAUGCAUCACCACAGGAUCAACUUUGACAAAUAUCACCCAGGUUACUUUGGGAAAGUUGGUAAGCGGCAUUACCACUUAAAGAGGAACCAGAGCUUUUGUCCAACUGUUAACCUUGAUAAAUUGUGGACCUUGGUCAGCGAGCAGACACGGGUGAAUGCUGCCAAAAACAAGACUGGAGUUGCUCCCAUCAUUGAUGUGGUUCGAUCAGGCUACUACAAAGUUCUGGGGAAAGGAAACUUCCCCAAGCAGCCUGUCAUCGUGAAAGCCAAAUUCUUCAGCAGAAGAGCUGAGGAGAAGAUUGAGGGUGUUGGGGGCGUCUGUGUCUUGGUGGCUUGAAGCUACACAGAGGAGGCUCAUUAAAUGCUUACAUUC